rnacentral:rRNA from 1 species
UACAGAGGGGGCAAGCGUUAUUCGGAAUUAUUGGGCGUAAAGGCGCGUAGGCGGCCAUUCAAGUGACGGGUGAAAGCCCUCGGCUUAACCGAGGAACUGCCUGUCAGACUGGAUGGCUUGAGACCGGGAGAGGUGAGUGGAAUUCCCAGUGUAGCGGUGAAAUGCGUAGAUAUUGGGAGGAACACCGGUGGCGAAGGCGGGUCUCUGGGCCGUUACUGACGCUGAGGAGCGAAAGCGUGGGGAGCGAACAGG